rnacentral:lncRNA from 1 species
GGGGUUAGUAUCAAAAGUAGAGAAGUCUAAGGGGAUGGGUUCUUCCACCAAAGGUAGAGAACCAGAAAUAUUUCCUUCUUCCACAAUAGGGGAGAAAGGAUGCUUAAGAACUGGAGGUUUAGGAUCAGAAGUAGAUUCCUGAGAUCCCGAAGCAAAAUCAUAAUACAAAGGUUUGAAUUUUUCUGAUAAGACUGAAUGAGGUUUCAUGUAAGAUGAUGAUUU